rnacentral:rRNA from 1 species
CACGUAGGGUGCGAGCGUUGUCCGGAAUUAUUGGGCGUAAAGAGCUCGUAGGCGGUGUGUCGCGUCGGCCGUGAAAACCUGCAGCUUAACUGUGGGCUUGCGGUCGAUACGGGCAUCACUGGAGUUCGGCAGGGGAGACUGGAAUUCCUGGUGUAGCGGUGAAAUGCGCAGAUAUCAGGAGGAACACCGAUGGCGAAGGCAGCUCGCUGGGACGGUACUGACGCUGAGGCGCGAAAGCGUGGGGAGCAAACAGG